CUCCUGUCUUGUUCUCGGCCACUGGUACUCCUAACAUCUUGAAUAAUGCUACUGUUUUGUUGCUGCUAUGGGGUUCUGCGCCAGGUUUCUCUAUUGUCAGGAAGUCGUCCAGAUAGUGAAUAAUUACUGGACAACAGCAGAUAUUUAGUAGUGGCCAGAAAAGUGUUUCUGCAAACAGGUCGAACAAUUUGGGGCUGCUUUUGGCCCCGAAUGUCAGACGGUUAGCAAAGUAGUAUAUGCCUUUCCAACUUACGCCAUGCAAAUGCCAUAGAGACGGGUGCAAAGGGAGCAGCUUGAAAGCGUUUGAAAUGUCGG